CCUCAAACUAGCACAACCAUUCCAUCAUCGUAGAAAAGUAGCACUUUUGCUAAACUGUCUUGAAUAUUUUGUACUUACAUAGCGCCUUUCAUCUCUUGAUUUCUCAAAAUGCUUUAUGAACACAUUUAAAGAAAGUGGUUUAAGUCUUGUCCAACACUUGACAGGUCUGCUGUGUUUAGCAAGUGAGGAAUUUAACUUUACUUCAAAACUGCUUUCUGCCUAUUAGGAGUGAGGAUACCUAAGUAAUGCUGAUAGAACAGGACAAUGUUGGGCUUUUCUCCAUGUUAUAAGCCACUACUCAGCAAUGCAUCAGUAAAUACCUAUUCACCCACUGUAUGCCAGCCACUGUGCUUAUAUGCAGGGGAUGCAAAGGUGCAUGAGACCUGCCCUCUACCUUUAAGAACAGUAUAAUGGAGAAGGGGAGACAAACCUUGUGACAGAUUCCUUAUGUACUGUGAUAAUACACAGUGGCAGCAGCUAAAAUGUCUAGGUUUGCUUAGCUUUGUAUUCAGUAAUAAUAAGUUGAUCUAAGAGUUCAGCAUAAACUGAAUGAAAUGCCAUUUAAUGGUAGAGGAACCAAGCAUUAAGGCAGUAC
rnacentral:lncRNA from 1 species